rnacentral:lncRNA from 1 species
GUUGAUAUGUAUUUCCUAGAGGAAGUUACGACUGUUCUAGUAAUUGAAGGUCAUGCUGCGCGGAAAUCUGAUUUCUUGCACGAACUUAUGUUUUGAAUUCACAAGCGACCUUCUCCUCAAGAUCUAAGUGUAAAAGAUCAUUUGAGGACAAUACGGCAUGAUUUAGUUAAUCAUUGUCCAAUGCCACAUUUGAAGACAUGUUAAAAAGCAUUGACAUGCUAAGUUGUUGAAACUUCCGUGAUUAGUAAGAAUCAGGAAGAGCCCUAUGAUUGAUGUAAAGAUCAAGGGGAGGUGCGAACUUCAGGGGAGUCUAGCACAUACAUACAUGUCACUAUCAAAUGUGA